rnacentral:tRNA from 1 species
UCCCUGGUGGUUUAGUGGUUAGGACUCUGUACUUCCAAUGCAGGGGACAUGGGUUCUAUCCCUGGUGGGGAA